rnacentral:tRNA from 1 species
GGUUCGAUGGUCUAGGGGUAUGAUUCUCGCUUCGGGUGCGAGAGGUCCCGGGUUCAACUCCCGGUCGAACCC